AUUGAACGCUGGCGGCAGGCCUAACACAUGCAAGUCGAGCGAGAGGCGGACGGGUGAGUAAUGUAUGGGGACUGCCCGAUAGAGGGGGAUAAGUACUGGAAAUGGUAGCUAAUACCGCAUACUAUGGGAUAAAUCAUAUGGGAUUAGCUAGUAGGUGAGGUAAUGGCUCACCUAGGCGACGAGCCCUAGCUGGUCUGAGAGGAUGAUCAGCCACACUGGAACUGAGACACGGCCCAGACUCCUACGGAGGCAGCAGUGGGGAAUAUUGCACAAUGGGCGCAAGCCUGAUGCAGCCAUGCCGCUUGUAUGAAGAAGUCCCUAGGGUUGUAAAGUACUUUCAGUCGGGAGGCGUUACCGACAGAAGAAGCACCGGCUAACUCCGUGCCAGCAGCCGCGGUAAUUC
rnacentral:rRNA from 1 species